rnacentral:rRNA from 1 species
GACGAACGCUGGCGGCGUGCCUAAUACAUGCAAGUAGAACGCUGAAGAGAGGAGCUUGCUCUUCUUGGAUGAGUUGCGAACGGGUGAGUAACGCGUAGGUAACCUGCCUUGUAGCGGGGGAUAACUAUUGGAAACGAUAGCUAAUACCGCAUAACAAUGGAUGACCCAUGUCAUUUAUUUGAAAGGGGCAAAUGCUCCACUACAAGAUGGACCUGCGUUGUAUUAGCUAGUAGGUGAGGUAACGGCUCACCUAGGCGACGAUACAUAGCCGACCUGAGAGGGUGAUCGGCCACACUGGGACUGAGACACGGCCCAGACUCCUACGGGAGGCAGCAGUAGGGAAUCUUCGGCAAUGGGGGCAACCCUGACCGAGCAACGCCGCGUGAGUGAAGAAGGUUUUCGGAUCGUAAAGCUCGGUUGUAAGUCAAGAACGAGUGUGAGAGUGGAAAGUUCACACUGUGACGGUAGCUUACCAGAAAGGGACGGCUAACUACGUG